GUCGACAAACCUAGGGAAACGGACACAACCCAAGACAAAAUAAAAUAUGAAACCACAACUUCCUUGUGUGGGGGUUGGUGUUAGUGAAAAAAUCUAGACACAUACCUCUGAAUUGGUGAAAAAUCAGGUUAUUUGCCGACCUUAAACGAAAACAGGACAUCCAUGCAGUGUAAACUUGUGCUGGAAAUACAGAGUUAUUGCCGCUGCUCAAAUACACCCUUUCGAUAAUUACGUCACACAUACUUUUUGGUCUUGGAGCCUCGCUCUCAUUUGUAAAUUACGCAAGGCGAUUGGCUUACGAUUCAUGACAGCGAGGCUCCCAGGCCAAAUGAUGUAAUUAUCGAAACGACGAAAGGGUAUAUUGGUUUAAAUUUUGGCAAACCCUGUCCAGCAAUGCCAAAGUGCAUGAUGUCGUCGAUUCUAAUAUUUACAAGAUAUCUCUUUAAAACGUCGAAUCGUAUUUCCAUUCCCUCUACACAAUCUGGG